UUGACCACGUCACUGUAUGGAGAGUGCUACGGGAGAACCAGUUGUUUCCGUACCAUGUACAGCGUGUGCAGGCACUAUCACCAGCUGAUUGGCCUCCACGGGCACACUUCUGCGAAUGGUUCAUCCAACAAUGUGUCAAUCCUCAUUUCAGUGCAAAUGUUCUCUUUACGGAUGAGGCUUCAUUCCAACGUGAUCAAAUUGUAAAUUUUCACAAUCAACAUGUAUGGGCUGACGAGAAUCCGCACGCAAUUGUGCAAUCACGUCAUCAACACAGAUUUUCUGUGAACGUUUGGGCAGGCAUUGUUGAUGAAGUCUUGAUUGGGCCCCAUGUUCUUCCACCUACGCUCCAUGGAGCACGUUAUCAUGAUUUCAUACGGGAUACUCUACUUGUGCUGCUAGAACAUGUGCCUUUACAAGUACGACACAACAUGUGGUUCAUGCACGAUGGAGCUCCUGCACAUUUCAGUCGAAGUGUUCGAACGCUUCUCAACAACAGAUUCGGUGACCGAUGGAUUGGUAGAGGCGGUCCAAUUCCAUGGCCUCCACGCUCUCCUGAUCUCAACCCUCUUGACUUUCAUUUAUGGGGGCAUUUGAAAGCUCUUGUCUACGCAACCCCGAUAUCAAAUGUAGAGACUCUUCGUAUUCGUAUUGUGGACGGCUGUGAUACAAUACGCCAUUCUCCAGGGCUGCAUCAGCGCAUCAGGGAUUCCAUGCGACGGGGGGUGGAUGCAUGUACCCUCGCAAACGGAGGACAUUUUGAACAUUUCUUGUAACAAAGUGUUUGAAGUCACGCUGGUACGUUCUGUUGCUGUGUGUUUCCAUUCCAUGAUUUAUGUGAUCUGAAGAGAAGUAAUAAAAUGAGCUCUAGCAUGGAAAGUAAGCGUUUCCGGACACAUGUCCACAUAACAUAUUUUCUUUCUUUGUGUGUAAGGAAUGUUUCCUGAAAGUUUGGCCGUACCUUUUUGUAACACUCUGUGUAACCCACAUUCAGCUAGUGUUACAUAUAGACCAGUUCAACUUUCUAGAAAGUGGUACACGCUAACUAAACAUGAAGGCCCUGACAUUGGCUGACCCCCAAUGUCCUGCUCACGCCGGAGCCACGCCCAAAUACUUCCCUGAGGAGUCGGACCCAAACGGCUUCUGGGAGUGCAGCAAUGGCGUAGCCAUUCACGAGAACUGUGCUUCAGGACUCUUCUGGAGCAGCAACAUCAACGCCUGUGACUGGCCUUAGGCGAACAAUUGCAACACCUGAAAUGUUUUCUUACAUAUACUGUAUGUAAUACGUCUAGCGAAGAUAUUUCAAGACAGAUCCUAAUGUUUACAAACGCUGAUCUUAUGUAACCCAACAGUGAAGUUCAUGGUGAAUAAACAACAAUUAAAUGGUUUAUCAAA